UGUCCUGCAUUUCAUUUUCAUAUCUUAUAGUUGAGAUGCACACAUGGACACUUCAGGAGGCUUAAAAUCAAAAUCAAAUUCCUCUUUUCUUCAAAAGAAACAGAGUCACUUCUAAUAUGACACUGGAGAAGAGUCUGUUCCACACCAACAUUCAAUCUACGAGCACUUUUGCUGUAGAUGGUAUCUGGAAAACAUGGAGGACUUUCUGAACAGAGUUCUUUUGAUCUCCUUGACUGCUUUCUAUAUUGUGCAUCAGACACAUGGUCUAGAAGGUCAUGAAAUUGUGUCCAGGAAAAUAUCGACAGGGAACUUCGUCACAUCCACAUAUGGUUCUUAGUGCAGCAUUCUACAUUUGGAUUUUCAAUUUAGCUGAAGGAUCUAUAAAAGCUUGUGUUGCUCCAAAACUCCCAGUUGACCACAGAGAAAAGGCAGCCCAGGAGUAUCAAUUAUACUUGUCAACUGUAAUUUACACUUUCUAAAGGACCUGGCAGAUCUCUUCUUUCCAGAUGCUAUAAUAGGAAUAACGUAUGCAGUAAGCUGAAAAAUUAAUCUUAAUAAUAUUGUUCUUCAGUAAUAUUUUUCAUUCUGAUGGAAUGCCAAAAAGAUUUAGAUGUUACACGGUAAAAUCUGUUUGAAUAUCAUUUGUAGAGUGCCUCAAACAGAGCCAGGGAGAGAGAAAAAAAGGUGGUCAAAUAGCUGGAACUCUGAAAAGCUGAAAUAAUUCUGAAAAUUGCCAUUGUUUUUAUCAUCCUCUCAUUCAUCUUGUAUGUUUUUCUAUCUCAAUCUGUUGUUUGUUCUUAGUUCAGUUUGCAAGCCAUUGCGGGUAAGAACAGCGACAGUGCUCUAUGCUUGAACACACGUUUUAUGUUCCUCAUGCAUAUAGAGACUAAGGUUAAAUAACAAAGCAGUUUAGCAUGCAGCCUGGCAGGCUACCCUCUCCAGCAAGAGGAUAUGCUCUUGUACCACUCCAGCUGACAUGGCUUCAGCAUUGUUUUACAAAGACAUGGCUUAAAGUAUCCUGAAUUUCUCUUGAAAUUUUCUUGCCCAUGUCCUGAUCAGACAUGUUCUGGACAAGCCUAUGAGAAGUAAAGGAACUUUAACCACAGGGUAUGUAGCUGGGAGCAGAUUUUGCUAAUGACUCCUGCAGAUUUAUUACUAACAAGGCAGAUGUAUCGGCAAGACUGAGUGAUUCCUUGGUCAUGGAAUUUAACUCUUGUUACUAACAUAUUCUGGAAUGCCAACUUUUAAUUUGUAAAUAUUAUGUUCCUAGCCCCCAUGGUGGGGUCUAGAAAACCAGUUUCAAAUCUGUGGUGUUUUCAAUUUUGUU